ensembl:lncRNA novel transcript, antisense to CBFA2T3
GUCUUCUCCACCAUGUCCAUGAUGCAGUUCAGGAGCUGGGGGCGGGCGGCGCAGCCUUCAGCACCUCAGAGGGACCGGGACGCACCAGACACUCCCCCAGCCCACUCGGCCAGAGCCCCGGACAGGAUGGGUGCCCGACCAGCCCACCGCCCGUGAGAGUAAGGGGGCUCCAGGACUGAAGCCGCAGAGGCCACUCCCACAGGUCACCAGAAACUAAGACGUGAGUGACGCCCGGCAGUGGCCGACUCUUCCGCCGUGGCUGUGCCCAUGGGAGACGUGAGUGACGCCCGGCAGUGGCCGACUCUUCUGCGGUGGCUGCGCCCACGGGAGACGUGAGUGACCCCGGCAGUGGCCGACUUCCACGGUGGCUGCGCCCACGGGAGACGUGAGUGAUGCCCGGCAGUGGCCAACUCUUCUGCGGUGGCUGUGCCCACGGGAGACGUGAGUGACGCCCGGCAGUGGCUUACUCUUUCGUGGUAGCUGCGCCCACGACUUCUGGAGACAUCAGAGGCUUCCAGGCCCCACUGUUUUCUGCAUUUGGCCACUGCCCACGCUUCUGGGGCUGAGGUCUCCCUCUU